UACGUAGGGCGCAAGCGUUAUCCGGAAUUAUUGGGCGUAAAGAGCUCGUAGGCGGUUUGUCGCGUCUGCCGUGAAAUCCCGCGGCUCAACUGCGGGUCUGCAGUCGAUACGGGCAGGCUAGAGUUCGGUAGGGGAGACGUGGAAUUCCUGGUGUAGCGGUGAAAUGCGCAGAUAUCAGGAGGAACACCGAUGGCGAAGGCAGAUCUCUGGGCCGUAACUGACGCUGAGGAGCGAAAGCAUGGGGAGCGAACAGG
rnacentral:rRNA from 1 species